rnacentral:rRNA from 1 species
AGAGUUUGAUCCUGGCUCAGAGCGAACGCUGGCGGCAGGCCUAACACAUGCAAGUCGAACGAACUCUUCGGAGUUAGUGGCGGACGGGUGAGUAACACGUGGGAACGUGCCUUUAGGUUCGGAAUAGCUCCUGGAAACGGGUGGUAAUGCCGAAUGUGCCCUUCGGGGGAAAGAUUUAUCGCCUUUAGAGCGGCCCGCGUCUGAUUAGCUUGUUGGUGGGGUAAUGGCCCACCAAGGCUACGAUCAGUAGCUGGUCUGAGAGGAUGACCAGCCACAUUGGGACUGAGACACGGCCCAAACUCCUACGGGAGGCAGCAGUGGGGAAUCUUGCGCAAUGGGCGAAAGCCUGACGCAGCCAUGCCGCGUGUAUGAUGAAGGUCUUAGGAUUGUAAAAUACUUUCACCGGUGAAGAUAAUGACUGUAGCCGGAGAAGAAGCCCCGGCUAACUUCGUGCCAGCAGCCGCGGUAAUACGAAGGGGGCUAGCGUUGCUCGGAAUUACUGGGCGUAAAGGGAGCGUAGGCGGACAUUUAAGUCAGAGGUGAAAUCCCGGAGCUUAACUUCGGAACUGCCUUUGAUACUGGGUGUCUUGAGUGUGAGAGAGGUAUGUGGAAACUCCGAGUGUAGAGGUGAAAUUCGUAGAUAUUCGGAAGAACACCAGUGGCGAAGGCGACAUACUGGCUCAUUACUGACGCUGAGGCUCGAAAGCGUGGGGAGCAAAACAGGAUUAGAUACCCUGGUAGUCCACGCCGUAAACGAUGAUUGCUAGUUGUCGGGAAGCUUGCUUCUCGGUGACGCAGCU